AACGCGAAGAACCUUACCUGGCCUUGACAUGUCCGGAAUCCUGCAGAGAUGCGGGAGUGCCUUCGGGAAUCGGAACACAGGUGCUGCAUGGCUGUCGUCAGCUCGUGUCGUGAGAUGUUGGGUUAAGUCCCGCAACGAGCGCAACCCUUGUCCUUAGUUGCCAGCGAGUAAUGUCGGGAACUCUAAGGAGACUGCCGGUGACAAACCGGAGGAAGGUGGGGAUGACGUCAAGUCCUCAUGGCCCUUACGGCCAGGGCUACACACGUACUACAAUGGUCGGUACAGAGGGUUGCAAUACCGCGAGGUGGAGCCAAUCCCAGAAAGCCGAUCCCAGUCCGGAUCGAAGUCUGCAACUCGACUUCGUGAAGUCGGAAUCGCUAGUAAUCGCGGAUCAGCUAUGCCGCGGUGAAUACGUUCCCGGGCCUUGUA
rnacentral:rRNA from 1 species